GGGGAUUUAGCUCAGUGGUAGAGCGCUUGCCUAGGGAAGGGCAAGGCCCUGGGUUCGGUCCCCAGCUCCG
rfam:Rattus norvegicus chromosome 20, whole genome shotgun sequence.